rnacentral:rRNA from 1 species
AUUGAACGCUGGCGGCAGGCCUAACACAUGCAAGUCGAGCGGAGCGUCGGACGGGUGAGUAAUGCCUAGGAAUCUGCCUGGUCGUGGGCGAUAACGUCCGGCAACGGGCGCUAAUACCGCAUACUAUCAGAUGAGCUUAGGUCGGAUUAGCUAGUUGGUGGGGUAAAGGCCUACCAAGGCGACGAUCCGUAACUGGUCUGAGAGGAGGAUCACUCACCCUGGAACUGAGACACGUUCCAGACCCCUACGGAGGGCAGCAGUGGGAAUUAUUGGACAAUGGGCGAAGGCCGGAUCCAGCCAGGCCGGGGGUGUGAAGAGGGUCUUCGGAUUGUAAAGCACUUUAAGUUGGAAGGCGUUACCAACAGAAUAAGCACCGGCUAACUUCGGGCCAGCGCCGCGGUAAUAC